rnacentral:sRNA from 1 species
GCUGGGAGUUCCUGGCAGCAAGAUUUUCCCACAGGGACAGGACUGGCCUGGUUACUGAAUAGGGCAGUGGAAAAAACCCCAGAAGGAAGAAGCAGCACUUACUGGAGCCAGAAUGACGGCAGCUCCGGCGGAGGCAGAGGUGGACCUUCUCGGGCUGGGUGAGGCUGGCGAGCACUCCUUCCACAGGCAGGCGGCAGAUGGCCCGAGCUCACUCGCCUGGUGUUUGCCUGGCUCCUAUGCGUCUCUGGGGCAGUGUGGGGCCGUGCCCUCUCUGCCGGUGGCUCCUGGACUCUGAUGAGUGGCUUGGCUGUUUGUGGCGGUGGAGAUGUGUUUUUGUUCUCAGCUGACUCAGUCAGGGCUCAGUGCUGUCAGAGAGAGACUACGAGAGCCUCGUCAUGAUGCGCAUGCGCCAGGCGGCCGAGCGGCAACAGCUGAUCGCACGGAUGCAGCAGGAAGACCAGGAGGGGCCGCCCACAUAACCCCAGCUCCAGCCAUCCACCCCUCAG